GAUCAGAGUCACAUCACAGGCAGUUGGAUGCAUGGCUGCCCUGCUGGCCCAGUGUGGCUGCCCCAACAAAACUGGAGGCCCAGCACACGGGAGAACCCCAAAGCCUGAAGCAGGGCAGCUGCCAGUCAUCCAGAGGCCAACUGGAGGCAGGAAGUGUGGUCCUUGGUCCUAGAGGCCACCACCUGAGCCCUGCAAGUGCCCACAUGACUGCGCGCUCUCAGGCCGGCCAUUAGGCGCAUGACACACGACCCCAGGACCCCAUGUCCUGGCCGCCCUUCACACUGGAGCUGGGCUAUGAACGGAGCACCUUCUGCAGCCGGAGCUGGGGAGUCAGAAGCCAACAGGCCACGUUACAGCUCCUGUUGUCCCCGAAUUCAUAGUGUGUGGAGCAGAGACAAUAAAUAAACCCAGGAGAAAA